AACGAACGCUGGCGGCAGGCUUAACACAUGCAAGUCGAACGCCCCGCAAGGGGAGUGGCAGACGGGUGAGUAACGCGUGGGAAUCUACCCAUCUCUACGGGAUAGCUCCGGGAAACUGGAAUUAAUACCGUAUACGUCCUUAGGGAGAAAGAUUUAUCGGAGAUGGAUGAGCCCGCGUUGGAUUAGCUAGUUGGUGGGGUAAAGGCCUACCAAGGCGACGAUCCAUAGCUGGUCUAAGAGGAUGAUCAGCCACAUUGGGACUGAGACACGGCCCAAACUCCUACGGGAGGCAGCAGUGGGGAAUAUUGGACAAUGGGCGCAAGCCUGAUCCAGCCAUGCCGCGUGAGUGAUGAAGGCCCUAGGGUUGUAAAGCUCUUUCAACGGGGAAGAUAAUGACGGUAACCGCAGAAGAAGCCCCGGCUAACUUCGUGCCAGCAGCCGCAGUAAGAC
rnacentral:rRNA from 1 species